GAUGAACGUUGGCGGCGUGCCUAAUACAUGCAAGUCGAACGGAGAUUGUAGCAAUACGGUCUCAGUGGCGAACGGGUGAGUAACGCGUUGGUGACCUGCCCCGAAGUGUGGAAUAACAGAUCGAAAGAGCUGCUAAUACCGCAUAAUAUCCAGAGGACUAGAUGCCUUUGGAUUAAAGGAUUUAUUCGCUUCGGGAGGGGCCUGCGUCCCAUCAGCUAGUUGGUAAGGUAAAGGCUUACCAAGGCUAUGACGGGUAGGGGACCUGAGAGGGUGGCCCCCCACAAUGGAACUGAAACACGGUCCAUACACCUACGGGUGGCAGCAGUAGGGAAUAUUAGUAAUGGGCGAAAGCCUGAACUAGCAACGCCGCGUGUGCGAAGAAGGCCUCGGUUGUAAGCACUUUUGUAGAGGAUGAGGAAGGACGGUACUCUCAGAAUAAGUCUCGGCGUAACUACGUG
rnacentral:rRNA from 1 species